GGCUGGUCUGAGUGCAGUGGUGUUCACAACUAAUUGAUCACAACUAGUUAUACAUUUACUUGUCCUUUUCCACUCCCACUGCUUCACUUCACUAGCCUUAC
ensembl:Y_RNA Y_RNA Y RNA